GCCUCGGGAGCAGUGCCAGAGCCCUGCCCUGGCCCAGGCCCAGAUGCAGCUGGCCCUCGCUGGUAGGGCAGCGUGUGGAAGCCAUCUUGUUGAACGGGCAACUGCUUUUCAAACUGAUCCAGAAGUGUUGGGGGGCUCUGAAGUCAUCGGAGCAAUCCUAGCAGACAGAGGCUCACCAGGACGCUGAGGAAGCGAGAGCCUCAGCCAGCCAAGGCCGCAAAUGUGAUAAACACUUAUGCAUGGGAAGAAGUGCCCUCGGCCAGGUGGACUUGUAAACAUCCUCUGAUCACCAAAAAGAAAAGGAGACCUGGGCAGCCACACAAACUGUUCCAAGAUGAACUCGCUUUCAGCAAGCUGACUUGAAGUAAACUGAGCCAGAGCUACA